UACGUAGGGUCCGAGCGUUGUCCGGAAUUAUUGGGCGUAAAGGGCUCGUAGGCGGUCCGUCACGUCGGGAGUGAAAACUCGGAGCUCAACUCCGAGCCUGCUUCCGAUACGGGCAGACUAGAGGUAGGCAGGGGAGAGCGGAACUCCUGGUGUAGCGGUGGAAUGCGCAGAUAUCAGGAAGAACACCGGUGGCGAAGGCGGCUCUCUGGGCCUACCGACGCUGGAGGCAAGCGGAAGC
rnacentral:rRNA from 1 species